rnacentral:rRNA from 1 species
GCUGGUUGAUCCUGCCAGUAGCAUAUGCUUGUCUCAAAGAUUAAGCUAUGCAUGUCUAAGUACACACAGCCGGUACAGUGAAACUGCGAAUGGCUCAUUAAAUCAGUUAUGGUUCCUUUGGUCGCUCCAACCCUUACUUGGAUAACUGUGGUAAUUCUAGAGCUAAUGCAUGCCAACGAGCGCUGACCUCCGGGGCAUGCAUGCAUUCAUCAGACCAAAACUAACCCGGGCUCACCUGGCCACUUUGGUGACUCUAGAUAACCUCAGGCUGAUCGCACGCCCCUGGGGCGGCAACGAUACAUUUGAAUGUCUGCCCUAUCAACUUUCGAUGGUACUUCCUGUGCCUACCAUGGUGACCAUGGGUAAUGGAGAAUCAGGGUUCGAUUCCAGAGAAGGAGCCUGAGAAAUGGCUACCACAUCCAAGGAAGGCAGCAGGUGUGCAAAUUACCCACUCCUGACCCAGGGAGGUAGUGAGGCAAAAUAACAAUACAGGACUCUUUCUAGGCCCUGUAAUUGGAAUGAGUACACUUUAAAUCCUUUAAUGAGGAUCGAUUGGAGGGCAAGUCUGGUGCCAACAGCUACGGUAAUUCCAGUUCCAAUAACAUAUAUUAAAGUUACUGCAGUUAAAAAGCUUGUAGCUGGAUCUUGGGAUCAAGCCGGCAGUUUGCCGUGAGGCAAGCUACCGCCUGUCCCAGCCCCUACCUCUCCGUGCUCCACUGAUGCUCUUAACUGAGUAUCCUGGGGGUCUGAAGCGUUUACUUUGAACAAAUUAGUGUUCAAAGCAGGCUGGUCGAAGAAGAUCUGAAGAAGAGCUUUGUGUAAGCUCAAAAACUUGUCUUUCACCAACAGCACAAGUUGGUCCGACAAAAGAUAUUACCUCACCCACCUUGUCUUACUAAUUCUGUUUAACAUCUGACCAUUAUGCAAUAUUGGAUGCAGUAUUGUAGCCAUGUCAGUUCCAGGAUAUUAGGGAAAGUAAGCCUGAAAGUUUCUCUCACCAACAGAAGUUUGGUGAAUAAAUGAUAUUACCUCAUCCACUUUGUCCAUCAUGCAAUAUACAACCUGGGCAACUAUAUAUAAGCCUUAAUGAAUAGUUUACAAGAGGUGGCUAAAAAUAAACUGAAGGUAAAGAGAGGAAGAACCCAGAUGGUAUUUUGCUUCCACAUAAUUGCAAGAUAUUCAUUUUAUGCAAUUCUUAUUAUGUACUAAUCAAACUGUUAUGGAAACCAAUUACGUACCAUCCAUGAAUGUCAUAUCCCCUUAAUAAAAAGGAAUAUUAAAACAUAAGGCAUGCAAAAUAUAAAUCGAUACAGGGACUGAUUAAUCCCCCAGGACAAAAGCUGUGGCUGCACAACAUAACACCCGCAGAAGCAGCUGUGCUCAUGA